rnacentral:rRNA from 1 species
GAUGAACGCUGGCGGCGUGCCUAAUACAUGCCAGUCGAGCGAACAGACGAGGAGCUUGCUCCUCUGACGUUAGCGGCGGACGGGUGAGUAACACGUGGAUAACCUACCUAUAAGACUGGGAUAACUUCGGGAAACCGGAGCUAAUACCGGAUAAUAUAUUGAACCGCAUGGUUCAAUAGUGAAAGACGGUUUUGCUGUCACUUAUAGAUGGAUCCGCGCCGCAUUAGCUAGUUGGUAAGGUAACGGCUUACCAAGGCGACGAUGCGAAGCCGACCUGAGAGGGUGAUCGGCCACACUGGAACUGAGACACGGUCCAGACUCCUACGGGAGGUAGCAGUAGGGAAUCUUCCGCAAUGGGCGAAAGCUUGACGGAGCAACGCCGCGUGAGUGAUGAAGGUCUUCGGAUCGUAAAACUCUGUUAUUAGGGAAGAACAAAUGUGUAAGUAACUAUGCACGUCUUGACGGUACCUAAUCAGAAAGCCACGGCUAACUACGUG